UCAGAUGUGUGGCUGCCCUUGUCCAUCAAAAUCCCUCCAAGACAGAGGAAAGGGGAUGCUCAGAGCCUUUCUUCAUUCCAGCCCUGGGCUGUACCCCAAACAGCCUAAACUUAAAAAAUAAUCAGAUUCCACAGUUGGGCUGCAUGUGGAUUAUGCAAGGACCAGAUGCCCAGUAGACAGGGUGUGCCAGAGGCUUAUACCCAAUGGGACCUUAAAAGAGGGUCAGCUGAUGCAUGCCAUUUAGACGUAUUCACUCACUCCAUUCUGUGGACAUUUUCCAGGUGCUGAGCUUGGUUCUUAGAUGCAGUGCCUGCCUCAGAGUCUGUCUAGACUUUUUAGGAGAGAGUCAAAGAAGCAAUGCUGGCGAUGCGUGCUCAGACCCAGCACAGGAUGAGAUGAUCUGGGAACUGGAAUGUCAGGAAUGACUUCACUAAGAGAUCAGAGGUGGUCUGAGAGCGGGUGACCAGAACAAGCCUGCCAGGCACAGAGAACAGCAUGUGCAAAGGAGUAAGGGAGAGCCUAGUAGGUCUGGGACAUGCCAGCAGUUCACUAGGCCUGGAUAGAAAGUUUGAGCAUGGGGAGAGGCCAGAGAAGGGGCUGGAGAAGGGAUGGGCCCAGGUCACAGGGAGCAAAGUCCACUGGCCCAAGAAGCCAGGGCUUCAUAGGGUCAGCAGUAGGGAGCCUGCCAGGGCUUUAAAGAGAGGAAAGACAUGAGCAGCUUAGCAUUUUAGAAAGUUCAUUCGACUGAAAAUGUGCAGAAAGCACAAACUAAAGCACAGACACAAAACAAGUUCAGAGGAUGUGGCUGUCACCCAGGACACACACCACCUCAUCCAGCCACAGUGGCCACAGUCCUCAGACUGGACAGCCCCUGUGUACCUGGGAUGCGGAGAGUGACCCAAGCCUCAAUCCUGGCCAGUGAGACUGCCCAUCGAGGUGGAAAUCAUCGUCUUAAUUACCAAGGCUCCCUGGCCACCGGAGGAGACACGCAACACACAGCCUGCCUAAUGCGCCAGCAGCCGAGUUGGGGAGGUCCCUGGGAAAAAGGCCUAUGCUCCCCCAGCCAUUCUCAGGGCCUAGAAUGUUCUUUAGCACGAGAGAAGUGAAGGCUCAGGGGUCCAGUGGGGAGGGCCGGGUACCAGCCCAGAAGUAGGUCUAGCCAGGGAGGUGGAGUCCCCAAGAAACACCCUCAGGAGCCUGCUGAGUCACAAUCAUCCCUCACAGCACGAAUGUCUCGCCUGCUCCCUGCACGCAGCUCACCUGGGACUCUCCUUCUGCCGGCAGGGUGAGGGGCCUUUGAAAGGCCUAAACCAGAAAGGCUGGAGGGGCUGAAGGCAGGAGCCAGCUGGCCCCAAUCCUGUUCUCUCUGGAGCCCCUCAGUCCUUAGCCCAGCCCCCAGGUGUGUCUUGUCUCCUUCUUAGAGGCUCCAACGGCCAGAGCUCCCCACUCCCAACCUACCAUCUUGUCCCAGAGAUGGAAGACAACAUGGGAGCGGCCCCUCACAGCCAGAGUACCUUCAAGACCAUGUGGCACCACCAGACUGAAACCCAGGUCCGGUGGGCUCUGCCAUCCCCAUGCCAAGCAGAGGGAAGGAGGGGGUGGGAGGACAGAAGAAGGAGUGGGCGGGGUGAGUCUGUGGUGGUUUGGAUUGAGAUGAGCUGGACUUACGUGUGUGACAGCU
rnacentral:lncRNA from 1 species